AUUGAACGCUGGCGGCAGGCUUAACACAUGCAAGUCGAGCGGGGUGAUGGUGCUUGCACUAUCACUUAGCGGCGGACGGGUGAGUAAUGCUUAGGAAUCUGCCUAUUAGUGGGGGACAACAUCUCGAAAGGGAUGCUAAUACCGCAUACGUCCUACGGGAGAAAGCAGGGGAUCACUUGUGACCUUGCGCUAAUAGACGAGCUUAAGGCGGAUUAGCUGGUUGGUGGGGUAAAGGCCUACCAAGGCGACGAUCUGUAGCGGGUCUGAGAGGAUGAUCCGCCACACUGGGACUGAGACACGGCCCAGACUCCUACGGGAGGCAGCAGUGGGGAAUAUUGGACAAUGGGGGGAACCCUGAUCCAGCCAUGCCGCGUGUGUGAAGAAGGCCUUAUGGUUGUAAAGCACUUUAAGCGAGGAGGAGGCUCUUUUGGUUAAUACCCAAGAUGAGUGGACGUUACUCGCAGAAUAAGCACCGGCUAACUCUGUGCCAGCCGCCGCCGUAA
rnacentral:rRNA from 1 species